rnacentral:rRNA from 1 species
UACGUAGGUGGCAAGCGUUGUCCGGAUUUACUGGGCGUAAAGAGCGCGCAGGCGGCUGGUCAAGUCCGAUGUGAAAUCUCCCGGCUUAACUGGGAAACUGCAUCGGAAACUGAUCGGCUUGAAGGUGGGAGAGGGUAGUGGAAUUCCCGGUGUAGUGGUGAAAUGCGUAGAUAUCGGGAGGAACACCAGUGGCGAAGGCGACUACCUGGCCUGUUCUUGACGCUGAGGCGCGAAAGCUAGGGGAGCAAACGGG